ACUCCUACGGGAGGCAGCAGUGGGGAAUAUUGCACAAUGGGGGAAACCCUGAUGCAGCGACGCCGCGUGGAGGAAGAAGGUCUUCGGAUUGUAAACUCCUGUUGUUGAGGAAGAUAAUGACGGUACUCAACAAGGAAGUGACGGCUAACUACGUGCCAGCAGCCGCGGUAAAACGUAGGUCACAAGCGUUGUCCGGAAUUACUGGGUGUAAAGGGAGCGCAGGCGGGAGAACAAGUUGGAAGUGAAAUCCAUGGGCUCAACCCAUGAACUGCUUUCAAAACUGUUUUUCUUGAGUAGUGCAGAGGUAGGCGGAAUUCCCGGUGUAGCGGUGGAAUGCGUAGAUAUCGGGAGGAACACCAGUGGCGAAGGCGGCCUACUGGGCACCAACUGACGCUGAGGCUCGAAAGUGUGGGUAGCAAACAGGAUUAGAUACCCUGGUAGUCCACACCGUAAACGAUGAUUACUAGGUGUUGGAGGAUUGACCCCUUCAGUGCCGCAGUUAACACAAUAAGUAAUCCACCUGGGGAGUACGACCGCAAGGUUGAAACUCAAAGGAAUUGACGGGGGCCCGCACAAGCAGUGGAGUAUGUGGUUUAAUUCGACGCAACGCGAAGAACCUUACCAAGUCUUGACAUCCUGCGACGCACAUAGAAAUAUGUGUUUCUUUCGGGACGCAGAGACAGGUGGUGCAUGGUUGUCGUCAGCUCGUGUCGUGAGAUGUUGGGUUAAGU
rnacentral:rRNA from 1 species